rnacentral:rRNA from 1 species
CAGCCGUAAACUAUGCGCGUUAGGUGUACUGGUGACCACGAGUCACCGGGGUGCCGAAGGGAAACCGUGAAACGUGCCGCCUGGGAAGUACGGUCGCAAGGCUGAAACUUAAAGGAAUUGGCGGGGGAGCACCACAACGGGUGGAACCUGCGGUUUAAUUGGACUCAACGCCGGAAAUCUCACCGGAUAGGACAGACAUAUGAUAGUCGGGCUGAAGACUCUACUUGAUGAUCUGAGAGGUGGUGCAUGGCGUCAGUGACU